AGCGAAUGCUCGUUUAUUUAACAUGUUUAGACAGGCAAAGCACUUAUAUUUUGUUAUCUACACUCUCAGGCCUAGAUAUGUAUCCUAUACAGUUAUGCCUGAAAUAAUGCAGCAUACUUGAUAUGUUAUAAAGCUCUUUUUUUUUUCAUUGUGUAUAGAUUGGAAGGCUGUGUAUUGCACUCAUUAAGCAGCCAAAACUUGUACCCACUUUGAUAAGUCAUAUUGCUCUGUUUAUCUUUCAACAUAACUGUCUUUUCAACUGCACUUCAUUUUUUCCACCCUUAGAGCUCAUGGUUUUUAAACAACUUGUGGUAAAAAUCUGGUGGAAAAGAUAACAACAGUAUAUGAUAUGGCAGAGUUGCACAGAAGAAUCAGAACAUUGUUUUAGAGAAACGUUGGGCAAUUAAUUAAGCCAGCUGAUUAAGUUUUAAAGGAGGAAGAUGGAACUUGGAGAAGACAUACAGGCUGAAGAAAAAAAAAUAUUUUGGAAGUGAUCAGCACAUUCUAAUUGACCAUGGAUGCUCUCUGCAUUCAUGUGGUAACCCAGGGAGAGUAUGGAGUGAAAAGAGGAUCACCAAAGAAACUUGGGGUAUCUCAACAUUUAGGAAGUGUGCAGAGAAGAUGAGAUCAUUAAAAUGUACCAAGAGGUUAUAUUUAAAUGUUAGAGGGAAAUCAAAAGAAUGGCACCACAAAAAUCAAGGGUUGGACUUCUUUAUAAUUGUUUGGCUGAGUUUUUAGAUGGUGAACUUAGAACGUACAACUUGAGGGAGUCAUUUAUAGGAAGUGAUAACCCAAAUAUUGUAACGUAACUUCAAUUACUGAUGCUAAUAAAAUUUUCAGAGUGUGAUCACUCUUGGCGGAUGUUUGGGCAAUGGAAC
rnacentral:lncRNA from 1 species